UGCUCUGUGCUGUGUCAUGAGACGUCACACAAGCUGGCAGUGAGCAGGAUAUGGCCCGCAGUCCCCUGACCCCUACGAGAACAGGUGUUAUGUUGGUCAUGGUGGGAGCCGGGUGAUGGGAUACCGG